ACUCCUACGGGAGGCAGCAGUGGGGAAUUUUGGACAAUGGGCGAAAGCCUGAUCCAGCAAUGCCGCGUGAGUGAAGAAGGCCUUCGGGUUGUAAAGCUCUUUUGUCAGGGAAGAAACGGUGAGAGCUAAUAUCUUUUGCUAAUGACGGUACCUGAAGAAUAAGCACCGGCUAACUACGUGCCAGCAGCCGCGGUAAUACGUAGGGUGCAAGCGUUAAUCGGAAUUACUGGGCGUAAAGCGUGCGCAGGCGGUUUUGUAAGUCUGAUGUGAAAUCCCCGGGCUCAACCUGGGAAUUGCAUUGGAGACUGCAAGGCUAGAAUCUGGCAGAGGGGGGUAGAAUUCCACGUGUAGCAGUGAAAUGCGUAGAUAUGUGGAGGAACACCGAUGGCGAAGGCAGCCCCCUGGGUCAAGAUUGACGCUCAUGCACGAAAGCGUGGGGAGCAAACAGGAUUAGAAACCCCAGUAGUCCCAUG
rnacentral:rRNA from 1 species